rnacentral:lncRNA from 1 species
AUGUAGGAGCUUUUGACCUCAUAUGCAUUUUAACCUAACUUUGAAUGAAAAAGAAAAAAUAAAAAUUAAUUUAAAUUUAAAAUAAGGAUGUUUUAGUAAUUUAAUAUAUAUGAAUUAAAAAAAAUAAAAAGUUGAGGGGUGGUCGUGGCCUUCCCACGUCCCCCCUCAGUUCCGCCACUGCAUGUGUUAUUGGUAAUAUUCU